rnacentral:rRNA from 1 species
AUUGAACGCUGGCGGCAGGCUUAACACAUGCAAGUCGAGCGGAGAUGAGGUGCUUGCACCUUAUCUUAGCGGCGGACGGGUGAGUAAUGCUUAGGAAUCUGCCUAUUAGUGGGGGACAACAUUCCGAAAGGAAUGCUAAUACCGCAUACGUCCUACGGGAGAAAGCAGGGGAUCUUCGGACCUUGCGCUAAUAGAUGAGCCUAGGUCGGAUUAGCUAGUUGGUGGGGUAAAGGCCUACCAAGGCGACGAUCUGUAGCGGGUCUGAGAGGAUGAGCCGCCACACUGGGACUGAGACACGGCCCAGACUCCUACGGGAGGCAGCAGUGGGGAAUAUUGGACAAUGGGGGAAACCCUGAUCCAGCCAUGCCGCGUGUGUGAAGAAGGCCUUAUGGUUGUAAAGCACUUUAAGCGAGGAGGAGGCUACUGAGACUAAUACUCUUGGAUAGUGGACGUUACUCGCAGAAUAAGCACCGGCUAACUCUGUGCCAGCCGCCGCAGUAAUAC